rnacentral:rRNA from 1 species
UAUUGGGCCUAAGCAUCCGUAGCCGGUUCUACAAGUCUUCCGUUAAAUCCACCUGCUCAACAGAUGGGCUGCGGAAGAUACUAUGGAGCUAGGAGGCGGGAGAGGCAAGCGGUACUCGAUGGGUAGGGGUAAAAUCCGUUGAUCCAUUGAAGACCACCAGUGGCGAAGGCGGCUUGCCAGAACGCGCUCGACGGUGAGGGAUGAAAGCUGGGGGAGCAAACCGGAUUAGAUACCCCCGUAGUCCA